UUGGUAAGCUAUAUUUGUAUACUGAAAUAGAAAAAUAUCCAAAAUAUAUCAGUUGCAUUUUUUUGUUUGUUUUACUUUUCCUCAUGGAAGUGUUGUCAUUUCAGAUUACUUUUAAAAAGUGUCCUAACUGUUUAAGAAAUACUAACAGCUUAAUGUUUUUUAUCCAGACUCUAAUGGACCUUUUCAAUGUACCAGUGACAGUCAGCAGAAUGAUGAUGUUUGCUGGACGCUGCUCUUCUCUGUGUGUCCGGUUGUUUCUGUUCUCUCUGCUCUCCUCUCAGUCCUGGUUUACAGGAUUUGUCAGAAAUCAGGUUUUUUUCAAACUUCUGAGACAAAAUUUUCUCAGAAUUCAGAAAAGAAACAGAACUCAAGAGAUCGGACGAGUCGGACUCAACAUCAGGAUGAGGAUGUGUGUUAUGCUGCCCUGGAAAUCAAACAUUCAUCUCUGAAAGCAAAGAGGAAGAGGACAGCUCAGGCCUCAGACUUUAGCACGUAUUCUGAUAUCAAGAUAUCUCAACUGUAGAAUAUCUUCCACAAAUGAGUCCAUGAUUGUGAUCAGAAAACUAACAAUGCUCUUUGACAUUGACAUUGUUAACCCUUUUUUUAAGUAUCUUUAGAUUAAAUUUAGGAUAUUUUCUUGCAUGCAGACCCAAAUUCCAUUAGAUUCAUGUUAUAUAAUUAUAUUUUGACCUUUUAAUUCAUGUUCUUUAUAAAUGCUACAUUUACUUGCUAAAUAUUUAAUUAGCAGACUAAAUAUUUAAUUUUAUGAAUUGAACUAUUAGUUUGCAAAUUAAAUGUUUACAUCUGACCCAGUUGUUUCUUUUGCUAACUAAACAUUUACUCUUUGUAUACUCCAAAUUAAAUACUUAGUUCACAGCUAAAUAUUUAAUUUGUUUACUAAAUAUUAAGUUUGUAACUAAAUAUUAAGUUUGUAACUAAAUAUUUGUAUUUGUAUUUUUUAUUUUUUUUUUGCAUCUUUUUUUGCAUCUUUACAAUAAAUGCAGUCUAAAUAUGAAAGAAGUUUCAAA